UACGAAGGGGGCUAGCGUUGCUCGGAAUCACUGGGCGUAAAGGGUGCGUAGGUGGAUUGGUAAGUCAGUGGUGAAAUCUCCGGGCUUAACUCGGAAACUGCCAUUGAUACUAUCAGUCUUGAAUACCGUGGAGGCCAGUAGAAUAUGUCAUGUAGCGGUGAAAAUGCUUAGAUAUGACAUAGAAUACCAAUUGCGAAAGGCAGCUGGCUACGCGAAUAUUGACAC
rnacentral:rRNA from 1 species